GAUGAAGAACGUAGCGAAAUGCGAUAAGUAGUGUGAAUUGCAGAAUUCAGUGAAUCAUCGAAUCUUUGAACGCACAUUGCGCCCCUUGGUAUUCCAUGGGGCAUGCCUGUUCGAGCGUCAUUUGUACCUUCAAGCUCUGCUUGGUGUUGGGUGUUUGUCUCGCCUCUGCGCGUAGACUCGCCUCAAAACAAUUGGCAGCCGGCGUAUUGAUUUCGGAGCGCAGUACAUCUCGCGCCUUGCACUCAUAACGACGACGUCCAAAAGUACAUUUUUACACUCUUGACCUCGGAUCAGGUAGGGAUACCCGCUGAACUUAAGCAUAACAAUAAGCGGAGGA
rnacentral:misc_RNA from 1 species